rnacentral:rRNA from 1 species
AUUCCAGCUCCAAUAGCGUAUAUUAAUGUUGUUGCAGUUAAAAAGCUCGUAGUUGAAUUUCUGGUUAAAAUCUUAGCUGGCUUUGGUCGUUAAUGUUUUAAUCAUCCGUUAGAGAACUAUAACCGUCCUUAACUGGUCAUUAUAGAGAUCUAACAUUUUACUUUGAAAAAAUUAGAGUGUUCAAGGCAGGCAAUCGUCAUGAAUACUAUAGCAUGGAAUAAUGGAAUAGGACUUUGGUUCAUUUUAUUGGUUAUUGAACCUUAGUAAUGAUUAACAGGGACAGUUGGGGGCAUUAGUAUUUAAUUGUCAGAGGUGAAAUUCUUGGAUUUUGGAAAGAUGAACUACUGCGAAGGCAUUUACCAAGGAUGUUUUCAUCG